UACCAGCCCCACGAGUGGUCGGGACGGUUAUUGGGCCUAAAGCGCCCGUAGCCGGCCCAGCAAGUUCCUGCUAAAAUCACCGGGCUCAACCCGGUGUUUGGUGGGAAUACUGUUGGGCUAGGAGGCGGGAGAGGCCGGGGGUACUCCUAGGGUAGGGGCGAAAUCCUAUAAUCCUAGGAGGACCACCAGUGGCGAAGGCGCCCGGCUGGAACGCGCUCGACGGUGAGGGGCGACAGCUGGGGGAGCAAACCGG
rnacentral:rRNA from 1 species